AGGUUUAAAGGUUUUAAAGGCAAUACAGAACAUCAGACAGACAGAUAAGAUUAGCAAGAUUUAACAUAGAAGCUGUGUCCCAAUUCAGGGGCCGCGCACUUCGAAGUGCAUGAAAGGGGUGGGGUUUUGGAGUGGAGGGUUGCCAGGUCUGCGCAACAAAACCAUCCCAAAAGUAGCGCAAUCACAGCACAAGUGUAAAAGUAUCCCAGUCCCAGACUUGGCAACAAUGAGCCGAGUGUCGUAACAUGGCUGCUGUGUGACAGACAGCUGACAGUUGACGUUUGUGACAUGCUUCACUGCCGGCGACGAUGGGACACUGGACCAAAAUAUAUGAGAUGUGAUCCCCAGAGUUUGGCGUUGAGAUUCUUCAGAACAAGGCCUUGAUGCCAUGCAGAUGCCCAUCACUGACAGGCUUUCCUGUGUAAACCAUCAUAUUUAUCCAAAUGAGGUUUG